rnacentral:rRNA from 1 species
GUAACGCGUAUGCAACCUACCUUAUACUGGGGGAUAGCCCGAAGAAAUUCGGAUUAACACCCCAUAGUAUUCUAAGAUGGCAUCAUUUUAGAAUUAAAGAUUACGGUAUAAGAUGGGCAUGCGUCCUAUUAGCUAGAUGGUAAGGUAACGGCUUACCAUGGCUACGAUAGGUAGGGGGCCUGAGAGGGUGAUCCCCCACACUGGUACUGAGACACGGACCAGACUCC